GUCCCAGUGGCCUAAUGGAUAAGGCAUUGGCCUUCUAAGCCAGGGUUUAUGGGUUCAAAUCCCAUCUGGGGUA
rnacentral:tRNA from 1 species